CUCAGAACUAAGUUUUCUUUCUUUUAAACAAACCAGAAUUUAAUAGUAUGUAUCAAGAGAUAUAAAAAAAAAUACUUUGAUAUUUAUAAACAAAAAUAUUAACUUAAGAUAUUGAUACUUCAUUUUGCAUAUACCUUUGUAAUGAAAUAUGAAUUGUCAAUUAAAUUUAAAAAAAAAAGACAAUUUUUUUAUAAUAAUACAUGAUUUCUAGUACAUGUAUUUUUACUUUUAUAUGAAAUCAAAUAUUUGUGUAAAAAUCCUUGAUACAUAAUAUUAAAUAAAGAAUGGUUAAUGCUAAGACUGAUAAACAUUUUAUUUUGUGUAAAUAGUUAAAAUUGUAUAUAUUAAUUUGAUGUAAAUUGCAGGGUUCUUAAUAUAUAUUUUUAAUGAAAGUGCAAUAGUCAUAUUUUACAGCGUGAUCACAAGAAAAUUGACAUUUCAAGUAGGAAGAUUAUCAGAUAGAAUAUAAAACAUUUUAAAAAGAAAUGAUACACGAUAGGAUAAGCAGGCAAGGGAAAAGAAAAUGGAAUUUAUUUAUGAUAGAAUAAAAUAGUUGUACAAGUUGUGAACAUAAUUGAAUCUUUCUGAAAGUUUUAGAUGGAAAUUUGAUCAUUAAAUUUUAGGUUUUUAAGUAAAUUCAUAAAUUUUAUAUAAAAAAUAAUAAUAACAAUAAAGCGCUGUAAUAUAUUCAGAAUUAUUAUAAGAAUAGGGCUAUAUUUAAAACAAAUUAUAUAUAUCAUUUUUUAUAAGGGCUUAAAGGAUUUUUUGGGGGGCUAUGAAAAAUUUUGAAAAAAUUGAUAUAAAGAUACGUGUUACUGUACCUAGGAGAAGAACUGCUUUUUGUAACAAGAACUUAUGCCUGUAUAUUCGAAGUUCAGUGAAAGAACAACAACAUUUCCUGAAAGAAAUUGAAGUUCAGGAAAAGAAAAUGACAAUUUUAGCUACAAGCAGAGUGAAGAAAUGUGAAUUUUCUGUCAUCAUGUACGUGAACACUGCAGUCUACUUCACCAUGAUAAUAAUAUCAGUCUCAGGAUCAACCAUACCAGUCACCAAUAGAGCUUCUUCCUUCCACCUUUUAGGACCCUCUUUAGGGUCCGCCAAAUUACUCAAAAAGAGUCUAAAAUUGUUGUACAUCAGAGUCAUCAGUAUUUGUUGUUGAAUUUUUUCUGCCAAACAAACAGUUCUUUCUAAGUGUUGAGCUUCAAUGAGAGUUGUAAUAGGG
rnacentral:lncRNA from 1 species